UGCACUUGUGCGUGCUUUUGCUUAACUUGUGGAUAAAGUCUUACAGACAGGUGCAAAAAAUAAAUCUUCUUUUGCAACCCAGAACUCAUUGUUCAGUAUGAGUUUUGAUACAUAUAUAAGGGGAUAUU
rnacentral:snoRNA from 1 species